rnacentral:rRNA from 1 species
UGUCAGUGAGCAAUCACCGCUGUGAAGGUGCUGCAUGGUUGUCGUCAGCUCGUGCCGUGAGGUGUCGGCUUAAGUGCCAUAACGAGCGCAACCCUUAUCUUUAGUUACUAACAGGUAAUGCUGAGGACUCUAGAGAGACUGCCGUCGUAAGAUGUGAGGAAGGUGGGGAUGACGUCAAAUCAGCACGGCCCUUACGUCCGGGGCUACACACGUGUUACAAUGGGGGGUACAGAAGGCAGCUAGCGGGUUACCGUAUGCUAAUCCCAAAAGCCUCUCUCAGUUCGGAUCGAAGUCUGCAACCCGACUUCGUGAAGCUGGAUUCGCUAGUAAUCGCGCAUCAGCCACGGCGCGGUGAAUACGUUCCCGGGUCUUGUACACACCG